CUUUGCCACUGGCAGGGACAUGUGACCUGGCAUUUGCCCACUGUCCUUAGGACCAGAGAUAUCUCUAAAUCUCAUCCUGUCUCCUUUGCCCCAGCUCUAUAAGGUGGACAGCAGUCCUGAUGUAUUUGGCUAGCGCAGCUCUGCUCCAGAAGUCUCAUUCCCUCCUUAGAACCAGCUAGAUUAUUCUUCUCCAAGACAGUAAUUCGUAAGCAGAUACACAAGUCUCUUAAACAAGCACACUGUCAUUUCGGCCUUCUGCUGUCUCAUAGCAGCUUAGAGACAGAGCAAGAGAGAGGGCUCCACCCACAGAUGCUUGGUUCUGUUGAAGAUAAACAUCAUGACAAUGGGAGUCCAUGGGGAACAAGACUGUUCUCUCCUGGUGGAUGGAAAACAGAUCGAAAAAAUACAGGGAAGAGAUCACUGGAUCUGCUUCAUCCGUUCAUCUCUUCUCACAAGUCAUGUCUGGGGAAGAAAGUAGACAAAAU